UCAUUUCAUUAUUCACACUUAAUUCCAGUUUUCAAAUAUUGCACAAUUAUUGUUGUUGCCAACAUUUUUUCCUCCAAAUCAUGCUGAUGAGAUUUGUUAAAUUGUGAUGUUUACAUGAUGUGGUAGAAUAAAACUUGCAUGUGCGACAGCUUUAGUUUCUCUCAAAUAUGAGAAUGCAGUCCAACAUUAUGAUUUGUAUUUUAUCAAUUGGUUUGACAAUGCAAUAAAUGAAAAAUCUGACAGCUUAGAUUUCUGUGACAGUUUUUGCACCUUAUUAGUGACUUUGACCACUAAUAAGGUGCAAUUUGGUCAAAUGAGACAAAUUCUUGCCUAUUGUAGUUCUGAGCAACAAAAUGUUGGUGGUAGUUUCAUGUAAACUAGUCUUUAAGACUGAUUUCUUAUGCUAAUAACUAGAAAUCAUUCCUAAAUAAGAAUUUACUUUGUUCAGCAUCAUCUAGGUUCUUAGCUAUUUUCCUCUAUUUUUAAAUGAAUUUUUAACUAGUCAUAUUUAACUUUUUAACCAUUUAUAUUUUUUAGAUUUUUCAGUAAAGUUUCUGAAACUUUUGAAAAAGCAAGGAAAUUGGAAGGAAGAGUUGCCUCUGACGAGGAUCUUAAACUAUCAGAUACAUUAAGAUAUUAUAUGAGGGAUACAGCUGCUGCUAAA